CUUAAAUCUGUUUGAUAGUGUCAAACCACCCCCACCCUUGAUCCUCCCACCCCCAAGAAAAAGAAAAGAUGCUCCUGUUAAAUGAAGGCUCUUUAGGGGUAGGUGCUAGGUAUACUCUUGGCUAGAUUGAUUCAGCUCAGAAUUUUGACUUUUUAAAGCUAAGUCCUUGUAGUCACAUGGUUGACUUGAAGGAUGAGGUGGUGUGUGCAUUUAUGAGCUUUUCCUACCCCCCUGAAGAAACUUCAUUGGCCUCCUGGUUACUCACCUUGAAGAGAGUACCAUCCAUUUUAGUGAAAAACACAUCUGUCACCUAGGACAUGACAUGGUUGCAGUUGACAGGAAAAAAAAAAUCUCAUUUAGUUGUUUUAGAGUUGGUGGCAUUCAGAAUAGUCCCUCUUGAGAAAGAAUUGUAACCAGAUUCCCUUUAAAAAUGAGUUCCCCUCCCUUUCCCCCCAAAGGACUCAUCCUGAAGCAGAAGGUGUGGGGGGAAGGAGAAAUGUAAAGGCUUUUACUUUGCAUAAGGAUGGGGGACUGGGGAAAAAGGUGAAGCGAAGCCCAAGGACACCAUGCUAAGGGCAAAAGUAAGAGACAGUCUCAGAACUGAGAGAAUUGUGUCUUCUGCUUUUUGAAGUAGACUGUCACACUCAGGCAGCCUGUCAAUGCUGAAUGUUAGGACUUCUGUCUCCGCUGGAGACACGGCCUGGUGCAAGUCAGCGUUUAGUGUUUGACAGCUUUCUCAGCACUCCCUGACUCCGUUUACCUUUACUCCGCAUCCCAUUCUCUUACUGCCUAUCUGAAGGAUUGGAUGGGCAGAGUAUAGGUGGCGGUGGUUGGUCCUCCCCGUAUGUUGUCCAUUUAAUUCCAG
rnacentral:lncRNA from 1 species